AAUAGGGUAUAUUAUAUUUGUGCACAAAGUGGACGUAUGUAACACAGAGAAGGAAACGUGUCCGACCCCACCCCCACAAAGUAUAUAUUUUCUUGAUCAGCAUCAAUAGCCGAGUCUAUAUAGCCAUGCCUGUCUGUCCGUCUGUUCGUCUCUCUGCCCUUGUGAGCGCCUAGUACUCAGAGACCAUAAGAGAUAGAGCAACCAAGUUUUGCAUCCAGGCUUCUGAAUCUGCUGUAUAUACUGCCCAAAGCAGAGUGUGAGAGAACGUGAAUUUGCUUGUUGGGUUCUUAUUGCAGUGAAAACGGCCUUUGCGUCCGAGCUGUUUCCAUUUAAUAACAUCAUUUAACACUGCCAGAAGACAGCUUGACAUCCAGCUGCGCCGCCGCCUCCUCGACAAAGUCGACCAUGUGAAGAUGAAAUACUUCCAACCAGGUGCUUUAUUUCUAUGCGCAGCAGUGCCCAGGACAGUGCGGUUAUUGUGGGGCUACCCGCGGUACGAAACGUCACAAGUUCGUUUUCAAGCUUCACACCAAGACCCAGAGGACAACGGAAAUGUGUGGAACAAUGCUUAACCAAGAUUUUCCUUGUGCCUAAAAGGCUGAUAAACAGCUUCGAGGAUUUUAUUAUCGCAUCGUUAAAUAGUUAUUAUUGCAUUUGACAAAAGAGAUACAAAUAAAACCGCCUUUUUCAAAUAUCGAUAUCAAUUGAAAUUCUCACUUUUUUGCAGCCC
rnacentral:lncRNA from 1 species